rnacentral:misc_RNA from 1 species
UCCCCGAUUUCCGGGGCAGUCUCCUUAGAGUUCUCGGCUUUACCCGUUAGCAACUAAGAAUAGGGGUUGCGCUCAUUGCGGGACUUAACCCAACAUCUCACGACACGAGCUGACGACAGCCAUGCAGCACCUCUAUGGCGGUCCCCGAAGGGAAAGCGACCUUUCAGCCGCGGUCCACCACAGUUCAAGCCCAGGUAAGGUUCUUCGCGUUGCAUCGAAUUAAACCACAUGCUCCACCGCUUGUGCGGGCCCCCGUCAAUUCCUUUGAGUUUCAGCCUUGCGGCCGUACUCCCCAGGCGGGGCACUUAAUGCGUUAGCUGCGGCACAGACGACGUGGAAUGCCGCCCACACCUAGUGCCCACCGUUUACAGCGUGGACUAC